rnacentral:rRNA from 1 species
GGGUUCAUCCGUUGGUCGGGCUUUUUUGGUCUGUACUGGCGUGAUGGGUUCCUACCUUCUGAAUAACCGGCAUGUCAUUAAUUUGGUGUUAUGGGGAGUUAGGACUGUUACUUUGAAAAAAUUAGAGUGUUUAAAGCAGGCUUUAGCUUGAAUACAUUAGCAUGGAAUAAUGAAAUAGGACGUUCGAACCUAUUUUGUUGGUUUCUAGGAUCAACGUA